CCUCUGGACGACGAGGAGAUGGUCUCCUACUUCGUCACCGGCCUCGACAUCGAGUUCAAUCCGGUUGUCUCGGCUGUUCUAGCACGGGUGGAACCGAUCUCUGUUACAGAUCUGUUCACUCAGCUGCUAGCAUUCGAGC